CUUAGAAAAAUAUGAUUCAUUUUUGUGCUAUUUAGUAUUUUUUUGGCAUUUAUAUUAUUUAUAUGAUAUUACAUUGAUGCAUUUAUUUAUCAUGCUUCUACGUAAUUUUCAUAUAUAGUUACAAUUCUGUAUAUAAAUAAUUUCAACACAACUUGAAGAAUGACAUUUAGAAUCACUAAAAUUAUUUUAAGUGUUUUAUAUGUUGUCCUUUUCUGUCUCUGAACAGAAACAGCCUAAAAUCCUAACAAAACGAUGUAUUUAAGAACACAUUGUAUUCAUUAGUAUUUAAGAAGUCUAAUACUAAUUCAGUGAUGUUUGACAAAAUUCAGCACUCAACAAAUUUUAUCACAAUAUGUACACAGUGAAAUCCCAAUAAUCCCACAAUAAUUACAACACGUCCAAGUGCCGAGAGGCACAGAUAAGUUCAAAGACAGCUUUAAUGCCAGCAUACACAACAUAUAUGUUUCAGGUAGAUACAUUAAAAACCGGAAAAAAAAAAGAUUUGUUUCUUAUUUUAUUUUUUUCCAUUAAAUCUUUUACAUCAGCUUAUUUAAAAAUAUAAAAAUAUAAUAUAUGAGAACAGAAUUAUACUCACCUUGUGAGACAUCAGUGUGUAACAUUGAUUUUGUUUUUCUUUUUAAAAAGAAACUCUUCCAUUUGCCAUCCAUGUAUGUUUUAAGAUGGAAUGGAAACAAAAGCAGUGCAUUUGCCAAUUUUUUGUUUAAAUAGUCUAAAAAGUCCCUCUGUGGUUGGUGGUCAUCCCAGUUGAAAUUGAAAAAGCAAACAGUUGUAUAGCAGCAUACAAAAUCCAUGGGUAACACAAAGCUGAAAUCAUUUCAGGGUCAAAAACAGAUUAAAAAAAAUGACAUUGAUAAGAAGUAUCACAACAUAUUUAUCUAAACGUCCCAGAUAAUCAAAACAGAGAAGAGUAGAAGAGGAAAGAAAGCAGAAAGAGGAAAAGAGAAAGAGAGAGAAAUGGAGAAAGAGAGAGAGAGGGAGGGUUCGAGAGCGGCUAAGUACGAGAGAGUUGGCCCAUAACACGAGCUUGAUUAGAAAAAAUGCUUACUAAGCUAUCUGUUUCACACAUGCACAGACAGAGAGUUCGAUAUUCAGCCAAUCGAUGAGGGAAAAGGCACAAAGGCAAAAUCAGACGGAGCUCCUUUUCAAAUUCACAUCUCCGAUGUCCCCCCUGCAGUCUGCGCUGGUGCGACGCACGGGGAGCAAGGGUUACCUUAAGGCUGAUCCGUGGACCACGCAAACAAGUCUAGACCAGUGACCUGCUCAAUCGCUCCCUUUGAGGGCCAGGCAAGUUCGGUCAGGAAGAAGAAAGCGAGGCGUGCCCUCUUUUCAUUGAGGGAGCAAGGAGGCAGCCGGCGGUGUUUAGCAAAGCUCCUCAGACUUAGCACAUCUCCGUGCAGAUGAGCUGAGAGGUCAAUGAGUUCCCGGGCUGCCACAGCGACUGCCAAGUACAACCAGACACACUCUAUUAGAUGCAUUAUAAAACUGUUGAAACUCCCUCUGUCUCUUUCUCUAGCUCUGCUUUACUCACACACACAGAAUACAAAAGAAAUGCGCUCUUUUAUUUCUUGUAAAAUGCUUUUGACCAGACUUUGUUCAAUAAAGGAAUAAAAGUUAAA